rnacentral:lncRNA from 1 species
GUCUGUUGUUGUUGUUGUUGUUGCUAUUUCUUGGGCCGCUCCCGAGGCAUAUGGAGGUUCCCAGGCUAGGGGUUGAAUCGGAGCUGUAGCCACCGGCCUACGCCAGAGCCACAGCAACGCGGGAUCCGAGCCGCGUCUGCGACCUACACCACAGCUCACGGCAACGCCGGAUCGUUAACCCACUGAGCAAGGGCAGGGACCGAACACGCGACCCCAUGGUUCCUAGUCGGAUUCGUUAACCACUGCGCCACGACGGGAACUCCUACUUAGUGUUUUUUUUAAGUUAUGAAUAGAUGUUAAAUUUUGUCUAAUAUGUGUCUACACUUCUUGAAAUUAUCAUUAGCUUUAUACUCCAUCAAAGUGUAAUUAUAUCGAUUAAUUUUUGAAUGAAAUCAAACUCAAAUUACUAGAAUAAACAUAGCCCAGUCAUGGUGUGUUACCCUUUGUAUCUUGCCAGAUUUUGUUUGCUAUUAUUUUAGGAUUUUUGAAAAGAUGUUCCUGCAAGAGAUUGACUUGUGAUUUUCUUUUCAUUGAAUAUUCUUCUUAAAUUUUGGUGUUUAAGUUUUUUUGUUCUCAUAAGUCGGGAAGAUCUAAAAUAUUUCUAUCUAAUGGAAGAUUUUGCAAAAUAUUGAAGCUAUUUCCUCUUUUAGUAAUUGCACAAUUCAUAGGUAAAACCAAUUACAUCUAUGAUUUUCCUCUUGGAGAGGUUUUCCAAUAUGAAUUUAAUUUUAAUAGGUAUAGACUAUCCAAAGUCUAGUUUUUCUUGUGCCUUCUAAGUUUUCAAAUGUAUUGGCAUAAAUGUGUGAGUAAUUUCUCACAACUCUAGGUCCUGUGGUGCUAGUCCAUUUCACCAUUUUGGUAUUGGUUUUAUGUGCUUUUUAAAAAUAGUAUUAGUCAGUUUUACCAGGCGUUUAUCACUUUUAUUAGUCUCUUCAAAAGAACUAAUCUUUGAAUUUGUUGGUGCUCUUUAUCAUAUGUUUAUUUUUUAUUUCAGUAAUAUUUGCCCCUAUUUUUGUCACAUCCUUUUAUGUCCAAGGGAUUUAACCCAUGCCUCUUUUGCUGCUUUUUGAAAUGGAUAUUUAAUCAUUAUUUUCAGGCUUUCUUUUGAACACAAGCAUUCAAGGCGACACAUUUUCUUCUAAUCUCCAUGUUACCUGCAUUGCACAAGAUUUAAUAUGUGUGUAUAUUUUUUUAGUUUUUGUUUCUCCAGCACUCCUGGUGUGUACCACGGCUGUCCCUCUCAUGGGCCUGCAGAUGCUGUGAGCUCGGCUUCAUGCGCAUGCUCAGAGAACCGCAAACAUUUCAGCCACUCGACCACUCUGACCCCUUGAAGGACAUGAAGCCAGAGCCCUGUUCUUUCCUCUUCUUCUGAACCUUGGCCCUGUGAUGUGUUUGUAGCUCUCUGAUAUCUUCAAUCAGGAGUUUUACAUAUUUUUAAUUACUUUUAUUGAAGUAGAGUUGAUUUACAAUGUUGUGUUAACAUCUGCUGCACAGCAAAGUGAUUCAGUUAUAUAUAUACACACACAUCCAUUCUUUUUCAGGUCCUUUUCUCAUAUAGGUUUUCAUAGAUUACUGGGGAGAGUUCCCUGUGCUAUACCUCAGGUCCCCACUGACAAUCCACUCCAAACCCCCAGUCCAUCCCUCCCCCCAAUCCUUCCCCCUUCGUAUCCAUAGGUUUAUUUUCUAUGUCUGUGAGAUUGUCUAUGUUUUGUAAAUAAGUUCAUUUGUAUCAUUUUUUAGAUUCCACACAUAAGCAAUAUCAUAUGGUAUUUGUCUUCUGUCUGACUUACUUCACUUAGCAUGAAAAUCUCUAGAUCCAUCCAUGUUUCUACAAAUGGCAUUAUUUCACUCUUUUUUAUGGCUGAGUAGUAUUCCAUUGUAUAUACUGUACCCCAUAUUUUUAUCUAUUCCUCUGUCAAUGGACAUUUAGGUUGCUUCCAUGUCUUGGCUAUUGUGAAUAGUGCUGCUAUGAACAUUGGGGUGCAUGUAUCUUUUCAAAUUAUGGUUUUCUUUAGAUAUAUGUCCAGGAGUGGGAUUGCUGGUCAUAGGGUAGUUCUACAUUUAGAACCUCCAUACUGUUUUCCAUAGCAGCUGUACCAAUUUACAGGAAUUGGCUUUGUCACUGUUGUGGCUCAGGUUCGAUCCCUGGCCCAGAAACUUUCAAAAGAUGCAGGUGUGGACAUAUAUAUAUAUAUAAUUUUAAAUUGGAAAAGAGAUGAAAGAAAAUGUAUUAAAGAUAAUACAUCAUGAACAUUAAAAUGUAUGAAUGUUAAAUAUAUUUCUAUAGCAGAAACUUAGGUUGAAUUACUGCUUAAUCAAACUAUUGUGGCUGGUGGCAAGGCAAUAAAAAUAUUAAAUUGCUUAAU